ensembl:misc_RNA 7SK 7SK RNA
GGAUGUGAGGACGAUCUGGCUGCAACAUCUGUCACUCUAUUGAUCGCCAGGGUUGAUUUGGCUGAUCUGGCUGGCUAGGCUGGUGUCCCUUUCCUCCCUCACUGCUCUCCAUGUGUGCCCUUCCUAAAGCUGUCACUCAAAGAGGAUGGCAGGAGAGCCCGUCUUUGGUGUAUAUGAGUAGCUGCGCUUCCCUGCUAGAACCUCCAAAUAAGCUCUCAAAAGGCUGAGAUGUGAUGAUCACAGUUCAAAGCCAACCCAGGCAGGAAAACCUAAGACUCUUAUCUCCAAUUAGCCACCAAAAAGCCAGAUGUGGAGCUGUGGUUCAGUAG